UGCCAGCAGCCGCGGUAAUACGGAGGGUGCAAGCGUUAAUCGGAAUUACUGGGCGUAAAGCGCGCGUAGGCGGUUUGGUAAGUCGGAUGUGAAAGCCCUGGGCUCAACCUGGGAACUGCAUUCGAUACUGCUAAACUAGAAUAUGCUAGAGGGAAGUGGAAUUUCGGGUGUAGCGGUGAAAUGCGUAGAUAUCCGAAGGAACACCAAUGGCGAAGGCAACUUCCUGGGGCAAUAUUGACGCUGAGGUGCGAAAGCGUGGGUAGCAAACAGGAUUAGAUA
rnacentral:rRNA from 1 species